CCUACGGGUGGCUGCAGUCGAGAAUUAUUCACAAUGGUGGAAACACUGAUGGUGCGACGCCGCGUGGGGGAAUGAAGUACUUCGGAUUGUAAACCCCUGUCAUGUGGGAGCAAAUUAUACAGAUCGUACCACAAGAGGCAGAGACGGCUAACUCUGUGCCAGCAGCCGCGGUCAUACAGAGGUCUCAAGCGUUGUUCGGAAUCACUGGGCGUAAGGCGUGCGUAGGCUGGUUCGUAAGGCGAGUGUGAAAGGCGUGGGCUCAACCCGCGGACGGCACAUGAUACUGCGAGACUAGAGUAAUGGAGGGGGAAGCGGAAUGCUCGGUGUAGCAGUGAAAUGCGUAGAUAUCGAGAAGAACACUCGUGGCGAAGGCGGGUUCCUGGACAUUAACUGACGCUGAGGCACGAAGGCCAGGGGAGCGAAAGGGAUUAGAUACCCGUGUAGUC
rnacentral:rRNA from 1 species